rnacentral:rRNA from 1 species
GAUGAACGCUGGCGGCGUGCUUAACACAUGCAAGUCGAACGGGAAACCUUUUAUUGAAGCUUCGGCAGAUUUAGCUGGUUUCUAGUGGCGGACGGGUGAGUAACGCGUGGGUAACCUGCCUUAUACAGGGGGAUAACAGUCAGAAAUGGCUGCUAAUACCGCAUAAGCGCACAGAGCUGCAUGGCUCAGUGUGAAAAACUCCGGUGGUAUAAGAUGGACCCGCGUUGGAUUAGCUGGUUGGUGGGGUAACGGCCCACCAAGGCGACGAUCCAUAGCCGGCCGGAGAGGGUGAACGGCCACAUUGGGACUGAGACACGGCCCAGACUCCUACGGGAGGCAGCAGUGGGGAAUAUUGCACAAUGGGGGAAACCCUGAUGCAGCGACGCCGCGGGAAGGAAGAAGUAUCUCGGUAUGUAAACUUCUAUCAGCAGGGAAGAUAAUGACGGUACCUGACUAAGAAGCCCCGGCUAACUACGUG